UACUACAUAUUUCAUCAUCCAGCAAUUUAACUUCCAUAACUAACCAGGAGAUUUGAAUCAGAAUGCAAUAGCUGAUCCAGAUAGCCAUUCCAAAUCAAUUUUCUAUUCAAAGAACCAUGUAUUCAAUCAAAACAUAUUCUUAGCACGUCACCAACAUGACUUUAUGCAACUAGGAGAUAAAUUAGGAAGUUGGACGAAAUACCUAGUUUGCAGAAGUAGAAAGAAACAUAGUCCAGUGACAGAACGACAAGCAAUUUCGGUUAGGGCGAACCAGCAACAGCAGUAAAAUCAACACCAGAAGUGAACUCAAAAGCUAAUCCAGGGAAUCAACCAUGUGUUUAGACCAAAAACAAACAAAGGAAAACGAGACUCUUGAUGUUUUUCUUGCCAAAAACCUAUUGUAUGUUGAACACUUAGUAAAAUUGUUCUCUGAUUCUUUCUCCUAUUUGUGUGUAGAUAUGAGUUAAACUGAUCUUCCCCCCNN
rnacentral:lncRNA from 1 species